UCUCGAUAGCGUAAAAGUUAACUCAAAAUUGUGUGGAAUUGGAACGUUUGCCUAAGUUUGCCGCUUGGGGCGCUGGUCCAACCGAAACAAAUUUGAGAUAACUUUUACGCUAUCGA
rnacentral:pre_miRNA from 9 species